GCUAGCGGCAGGCUUAACACAUGCAAGUCGAGGGGUAUAGGUUUUCGGACCUAGAGACCGGCGCACGGGUGCGUAACGCGUAUGCAAUCUACCUUUCACAAAGGGAUAGCCCAGAGAAAUUUGGAUUAAUACCUUAUAGUAAUACGACUUGGCAUCAAGAUGUAUUUAAAGAUUUAUCGGUGAAAGAUGAGCAUGCGUCCCAUUAGCUUGUUGGUAAGGUAACGGCUUACCAAGGCAACGAUGGGUAGGGGUCCUGAGAGGGAGAUCCCCCACACUGGUACUGAGACACGGACCAGACUCCUACGGGAGGCAGCAGUGAGGAAUAUUGGACAAUGGGCGCAAGCCUGAUCCAGCCAUGCCGCGUGCAGGAUGACGGUCCUAUGGAUUGUAAACUGCUUUUGUACAGGAAGAAACCCUUUCACGUGUGGAAGAUUGAUGGUACUGUAAGAAUAAGGAUCGGUUAACUCCGUGCCAGCAGCCGCGGUAAUACGGAGGAUCCAAGCGUUAUCCGGAAUCAUUGGGUUUAAAGGGUCCGUAGGCGGUCAAGUAAGUCAGUGGUGAAAGCCCAUCGCUCAACGGUGGAACGGCCAUUGAUACUGCUUGACUUGAAUUAUUAGGAAGUAACUAGAAUAUGUAGUGUA
rnacentral:rRNA from 1 species